rnacentral:rRNA from 1 species
UACGAGGGGUGCAAGCGUUGCUCGGAAUUAUUGGGCGUAAAGGGUAGGUAGGUGGUCUCAUUUGUCUAGGGUGAAAUCCUUGGGCUUAACCCAAGAAGUGCCCUAGAAACGGUGAGACUGGAGUCCUGGAGAGGGUCGUGGAAUUCCCGGUGUAGCGGUGAAAUGCGUAGAGAUCGGGAGGAACACCAGAGGCGAAGGCGGCGACCUGGACAGGUACUGACACUCAACUACGAAAGCGUGGGGAGCAAACAGG